AUUGAACGCUGGCGGCAGGCCUAACACAUGCAAGUCGAACGAGUGGCGGACGGGUGAGUCAUGUCUGGGACACUGCCUGAUGGAGGGGGAUAACUACUGGAAACGGUAGCUAAUACCGCAUACCAUCGGAUGUGCCCAGAUGGGAUUAGCUAGUAGGUGGGGUAAAGGCUGACCUAGGAGACGAUCCCUAGCUGGUCUGAGAGGAUGACCGGCCACACGGGAACUGAGACACGGUCCAGACUCCGACGGGAGGCAGCAGUGGGGAAUAUUGCACAAUGGGCGCAAGCCUGAUGCAGCCACGCCGCGUGUAUGAAGAAGGCCUUCGGGUUGUAAAGUACUGUCAUCGGGGAGGCGUUACCCGCAGAAGAAGCAACGGCUAACUCCGUGCCAGCAGCCGCGGUAAUAC
rnacentral:rRNA from 1 species